ACGCUCGCGAAAAUGAACAACAGAGUCGCCACCAAUAUAUUUAUCCCAAAGAGGGAAAGGAAUAUAAGAAAACCUAACAAAAGAAGGAACAGGGUCUUGCGACCAGAGAAUCUAGGUACGGGAGCCGGUUACGCGAGGGGAAGGUAUUAGCACCCCUCACGCCCAUCGUACUCGAUGGUAUCCACCUAUGUUUGUUGCUAUCUAAAGGGUGUGUGCUAUAAAUCUAAGGCCAAGGGAAUGAGAAUGCAUGCAAAAGAAAGAAAAAGAAAUACGGGAAAAAAAAAGGUUUAUAAAUAAUUGUGCUCGCUUAGGCCCCGCGACCUAAUGCCUACGUAUCCUUUUCAGGAAUCAGAGCGUCGUAGUUCGGCUCUUUAGUUUUUGUUUGUUUUUGUGUUUUUUAGUGGACGGAGUUACAUUCGCAAUCUAGCUUCAGGAUAGCAGCUCGUUGAAUGGAGUGUUAUGUGUUACCAGUCUGCGAUCGAAAGGAAGCAACAUGUCCGAUUAGGAGAAAGAAUGCCUCAGAGGCGAGAUGAAGAAGAGAUUUUGAGUGUUUCAAGUCGAACCCUAAAGCAAGGGAGACUCGAGUUGCUCUAUGGUUUGUGUUUUUUAGAAAUUGGGAACUUACGCUCGAAUGGUUCCCUUAAGCAAGGGAGAUCCAAGCACUCGAAUGAUUCCCUUAAGCAAGGGAGAUUCAAGCUUCCAUUCCCUAUUUAAUGAUUUUCACUUUUUUAUUAAUGUUUUUUUUAGUAUCUUCUUGGUAUUCUUUAUGGGGAUUUAAUUUGGAUAUUGUUAGAUGUUUUAGCACGACGGCGCCGAAAGUCUCGGCUUCUCCGAUUCAUUUCUCCGGUGAAUUUGACGAUGCGCAAAAUCUUAUCUUCUCCGAUUCGAUUCUUUCUUCUCACCGAUCUCACUUCUUUUGACCUCCUCUGAGCUUUUGCGUUGACGUUAAUGGCACGGCACCGUUGUUGGUUCGAAACAAAGAGCGAAGAUGAUGAUGAGAUACCGUUGUUGAGAGCGUGAAGAUGCCGUUUCAGAAACGACCGCGACCUGCCGUGUGAUGAAGCUUUGUGUGUGAAGACGGUGGUUGGCGAGUUAGAUGAAGAUGAUUGAGGUGUGAAGCACAAAGAUAGCGAAGAUGACGAAGAACUGUUGGUGUUCGUGGAGCCUUCUCUUGAUUCUCGUUUCUUAUCCCUCUGUAGUUCGAAGGUUGAACGGAUUCAUGAUGAAUGAUUCGAUGUUCUUUGAUUGAAGAUUGGAGAAAGUGAUAAAGAUAACGAAGGUGGCCAAGGAAGAUGAUCGAGGGUGAUUAGAGAGAGAAUUGAAGAAAGUUGAAGAAGGUUGAAGAGGUGUGGUGAGGAAUGAAGGUCGAUGAAUGAAGAGAGUCAGAAGUGAAGAAGAGUGGAGAAUUGGUGAUGUUGCGGAGAGUGAUGAAUGAACAAAAAUGGUGGAGAGAAGAUGGUGAUGAAGUGAAGAGAGAAUGGAGAGAGCCCGAAGAAUGAAGAGGACCCCUGUUAUAUAGAGAUAGAGAAGCUUGAAUCUGAAGUUAAAAUGAGGUUGCAGGGAUCUUGGAAUAUAUUGAAGCAUGAAGAGGAGCAUAGUUUAGCAUAAGCUUUUCUUUUGGUGAAAAUAACUUAGACUUGAAUUCUGUAUAAAUGUGGGUGAGUUAUGAAUGGUGUAAUGUUUGAUUUAUAUGUAUAUGGGACCUUGUAUAUUUUUUGUAACAUGAAGGAUUUUGAAAUGGACAGUGGGUUUGUAAUUUGUUGUGUAGCUUUUGAAUGAAUAAACCUCGAACCG